UCCGAAGGGGGCUAGCGUUGUUCGGAAUUACUGGGCGUAAAGCGCACGUAGGCGGGUCGUUAAGUCAGGGGUGAAAUCCCGGAGCUCAACUCCGGAACUGCCUUUGAUACUGGCGAUCUAGAGAUCGAGAGAGGUGAGUGGAAUUCCGAGUGUAGAGGUGAAAUUCGUAGAUAUUCGGAAGAACACCAGUGGCGAAGGCGGCUCACUGGCUCGAUACUGACGCUGAGGUGCGAAAGCGUGGGGAGAAAACAGG
rnacentral:rRNA from 1 species